UGCUGGGAUUCUUUAUUUUGGUGUUUGGAACGCUUUUAGACAGCAAGUUACGUGAGGCUCUGGCAGGACGCCUGUCACCAAGAAACCUUACCAGUUCUAACCGUACCAGGAGUACUAGUGCAGGACCAUCAUCUUCAAGUGGACUGGGUUUCUUUCAAAGGAUCCGGAGAAUUAAGUCUUAUUAUUAAAAUAGAUAAAGUUGUCUACAUAUUUUACUAUACAGACUUUAAUUUGGUCAAAAUAGCUUUAGUAGGUCAACAUUAUUUACAAAAGGACAAUAAAUAUUUAAAUAAUGUGCGAAUGUCUAUUUGCAGAUGUGUUCAACAUAUCUGAAGCCAAUGCUUUCUCAGCAGCUACGUCUUCACACAGCUCCAGUGGCACAGAUACUAUGAAUGCAUAAUCAGCUGCUUCAUAAACUAUAGUUUACUUAAUUACAUGUUAAACAGCCUUUCCUAAGCAGGUUUUCUAUACCACAAG